rnacentral:lncRNA from 1 species
CUUCAGCCCCUGGCAACCACCAGUCUAUUCUCUGCUUCAACGAUUUCGACUAUUUAAGAUAAGUCAGAUGUGCCUGCUUCACCUUUGCCUUCUGCCAUGAUUGUAAGAUUCUUGAGGUCUCUGCAGCCAUGCCUAUACAGCCUGCAAAACUGGAGUUCCCCUGCACAUGCUGUCUUGCCUGCCAUCGCGUAAGACGUUACUUUGCUCCUCAUUUACCUUCAGCCAUGAUUGCAAGGCCUCCCCAGCCAUGUGGAACUGUGAGUCAAUUAAACUUCUUUCCUUUAUAAAUUACCCAGUCUCAAGCAUGUCUUUAUUAGCAGCAAGAGAAUAGACUAAUACAGUAAAUUGAUACUGGGUACUGGGAUGCUGCUGUAAAGAUAACCAAAAAUGUGGAAGUGACUUUGGAACUGGGUUACAGGCAGAGGCUGAAACAGUUUGGAGGACUCAGAAGAUAGCAAAAUGUGGGAAAGUUUGGAAUGUCCUAGAGACUUGUUGAAUGGCUUUGACCAAAAUGCUGCUAGUAAUAUAGACAAUGAAAUCCAGGCUAAGGUGGUCUCAGAUGGAGAUAAGGAACAUGUUGGGAAAUGGAGUAGAGUUUACUCUUCUUAUACGAAAAGACUGGUGGCAUUUUGCCUCUGCCCUAGAGAUGUGUGGAACUUUGACCUUGAGAUAAAUGAUUUACAGUUUCUGAUAAAAGAAAUUUCUAAGCGGCAAAGUGUUCAAGAGGAAGUACAGCAUAAAAGUUUGGAAAAUUUGCAGCCUGACAAUACAAUAGAAAAGAAAAACUGAUUUUCUGGGAAAAAAAUUCAAGCCCGCUGCAUAAAUUUGCAUAAGUAAUGAGGAGCACAAUGUUAAUCACCAAGACAAUGGGGAAAAUGUCUCCUGGGCAUGUUAGAAAUCUUCACAGCACCCCCUCCCACCACAGACCUGGGGGCCUAGGAUGAAAAAAUGAUUUUGUGGGCCUGACCCAGGCCCCCAGUACUGUGUACAGCCUAGGGACUUGAGUCACUGCAUCCCAGCUACUUCAGAUAUGGUGAAAAGGGGAUAAGGUACAGCUCCGGUUGUGGCUCCAAAGGAUGCAAGCCCCAAACCUUGGCAGCUUCCACAUGGUGUUGAGCCUGUGGGUGCACAGAACUCAAGGAUUGAGGUUUGGGAACCUCCUCCUAGAUUUUAGGGGAUAUGUGGAAAUGCCUAUAUGUCCAGGCAGAAGUUAGUUGCAGGGUGGGACCCUCAUGAAGAACCUCUGCUAGGGCAGUGCAGAAGGGAAAUGUGGGGAUGGAUCCCCACACAGAGUCCCCACUGGGGCACUACCUAGUGGAGCCAUGAGAAGAGGGCCAUUGUCCUCCAGACCCCAGAAUAGUAGGUUCACUGACAGCUUGCACCGUGCAUCUGAAAAAGCUGUAGACACACAAAGCCAGUACAUGAAAGUAGCUGAGAGGGAAGCUGUACUCCACAAAGCCACAGGGGCAGAGCUGCCCAAGGCCAUGAGAGGCCACCUCUUGCAUCAGCAUUACCUGGAUGUGAGACAUGGAGUCAAGGGAGAUCAUUUUGGAACUUUUAAGGUUUAAUGACUCUCUUAUUGGAUUUAGAAUUGCAUGGGGCCUGUAGCCUGUUUGUUUUGGACAAUUUCUCCCAGUUGAAAUGAGUGUAUUUACCCAAUGCCUGUACCCCCAUUGUAUCUAGAAAGUAACUAACGUGCUUUUGAUUUUACAGGCUCAUAGGUGGAAAGAACUUGCCUUGUCUCAGAUGGGACUUUGGACUGUGGACUUUUGAGUUAAUGCUGAAAUGAGUUAAGGUUUUGAGAGACUAUUGGGAAGGCAUGAUUAGUUUUGAAAUGUGAGGACAUGAGAUUUGAGAGUGCCCAUGAGCAGAAUGACAUGGUUUAGCUGUGUCCCCACACAAAUCUCACCUUGAAUUGUAAUAAUCCCCACGUCUCAUGGGAGGGAGCUGGUGGUAGGUAAUUGAAUCAUGGGAUGGGUCUUUCCCAUGCUGUUUUCAUGAUAGUAAAUAAGUCUCAUGAGAUCUGAUGGUUUACUAAAGGGUAGUUCCCAUGAACAAGCUCUCUCACCUGCUUCCAUGGAAGAUGUGAUUUUGCUUUUCAUUCACCUUCAGCCAUGAUUGUGAGGCCUCUUCAACCAUGGGGAGCUGUGAGUCACCCCACAAGGAUAAACUGUGCUGCACCACCAGAAUGUUUAUGCCAAGAAGUUUCUUGUAGCAUCCCCACUUUGGCAACCACUACUGUGUUAUCCUUGAGUAGGACAACAGUAAAGAACAGAAAAAUAGAAAGCACAACAAAGGACUCAUGUGAGAUACUCUUAAAGCACAUCCAGAGCUGAUUCACAACAACCAUGACUAGAGUAAAAAACAAACGAGAACAAUCACAUAAGAUGCCAUGCACAAGAAAAAAACAAACAACCCUAUCAAAAAGUGGGCAAAGGAUAUGAACAGACACUUCUCAAAAGAAGACAUUUAUGCAGCCAAUAAACAUAUGAAAAUAAGCUCAUCAUCACUGGUCAUUAGAGAAAUGCAAAUCAAAACCACGAUGAGAUAUCAUCUCACACCAGUUAGAAUGGCGAUCAUUAAAAAGUCAGGAAACAACAGAUGCUGGCAAGCAUGUGGAGAAAUAGGAAAGCUUUUACACUGUUGGUGGGAGUGU